ACCCAUACGAACAUUUUUCUGUGUUAUUCUCGUUCUUCUUCUCAAACUGAAAACCCUAAAAUCCCAAUCGAUUCUCGUUCUUCUUCUUCUCAAACUGAAAAACCCUAAAAUCCCAAAUCGAUUCUCGUUCUUCUUCUUAUCAAACUGAAAAUCCAUUCCCAGUCGUCAUUCCUCGUUCUACUUCCAGGGUGUUGAUAUCAUCUGUUGUUCUUCUUUGGCCAAACAAAGAAACUGAAUCUGAAACUGAAGCACUCAAAAAACGCAGCCCUACUGCGAGUUGUAAGAAAGUUGGUGCCACUCUGUCCACCUCUCGACGUCAUCUCUUGCUCACGCUACUCGUUCUUCUUUGAUUCCACGGUGGAGAUUCUGAGCGGUUUUUGAUUCCAUAGUGCUGAUACGUUUCUUCGAUCCUCGAUUCCACAGGUACGUCACAACCACUUCAUCUUUUUGUGCAUUUCUGGUCUGGUUGAAUGAUUGAAGUUGCAACUACCUUUUGAUUAGUUAUUUAGUGUUUAAAGUUGUUAAUAUCAUGAACUGCUUAUUUAGUGUUUCACUCUAUUUCUCUGUGAUUCAUUAACUGCAUUAAAUGAUACACGGAAACGAUUUUUGGUUUCUAUUAUUUCCUCGAUAAAUUCAUGUAAUAUUUUAGUAAGCAUUGUUGGGUUGAUGUCGUUCACAACAGCACUAGUGCUGUUUCUGCUGCGCCUCUUUUCGCUUUGCAGACGAUGACAGACUAGUACUAGGACAGCCUGUGAAUUGUUGAACAAAAUACACACAUUUUUCCAACUCUGGCCAGCUUAGAGCAUCAAAUGUUAUAUCAAAACAGACUUAGAAGAACUCUGCAAACAAAGAAGCUAAACCACCAAAGGAUAUUGAAGGGUAAAAAGGUUACAAUUGCUGGCAAGAAGAAAAAGUAGAUAUUUAGCUUCCUUUUGACUUGUGUAAAAAAUAACAAUGUUUUGGAUGAUGCAAUUGUUUUCAUUGAAUUGGAUGUAAUUUUGUUGUUGUUUAUUAAUAUAUUCUUAGCAUCUUAGCUCUGAAAAAUAGAAAUUUUUGUUGUUUGUAUGUGAAAUUUGUAAUGGUAUA